rnacentral:tRNA from 2 species
GCCGCGGUAGCUCAGCCUGGUUAGAGCGCCGCCUUGGUAAGGCGGUGGUCCCGGGUUCAAAUCCCGGCCGCGGCUCCA